AGUGGGAUAGCUAGAUCAAAUGGUGGUUUCAUUCCAAUUCUUCUAAGGAAUCUCUAUACUGCUUUCCAUAAUGGUUGUACCAAUUUGCAUUCCCACUAGCAAU
rnacentral:pre_miRNA from 1 species